CAGCCCCUCGAGUGGUGGGGAUGAUUAUUUGGCCUAAAGCGUCCGUAGCCGGCCGGGUAAGUUUCCCGUUAAAUCCAACGUCUCAAGCGUUGGACCGCGGGAGAUACUACACGGCUAGAGAGUGGGAGAGGUCAGCGGUAUUCUGGGGGUAGGGGCGAAAUCCUUUGAUCCCCGGAGGACCACCAGUGGCGAAGGCUGCUGACUAGAACACGUCUGACGGUCAGGGACGAAAGCUGGGGUAGCGAACCGGAUUAGAUACCCGAGUAGUCC
rnacentral:rRNA from 1 species